rnacentral:lncRNA from 1 species
CCAUAUUUCAUUUCUCCAAUUAAUCACUACACAUUGACAUAUUCAGCCCAUUAUACAUUAGUUGACGCUAGAGAAUGCCUGCAAUGUAAGCAAAAUAGAAGGUAGGGAAGUAAGCAGCAACAGGUAACAGGCAGUAAGCACAACCAGCAGCAACGAUGCAAGUUGAAACCCAAAAUAGCACCACAAGAGCCCAAGAAGAAGUAAAAUCAACCAAAACACCUUAAAUCUACUUGAAAUCAAACUAGGAAGUCAUAGAUCACAUUCAAGAGUCAGAAUCACCCCGCAACAACUCGAUUAAACCCCAAGCAACUCAUUAACACUCAAACAUAGAAGAGAGAAACAGAGAAAUUCGAACUGUUUCUGAUAUUAAAUGAUCAAUGUAAUAGUAUUGUUUGGUUUUCUACUAUACAUGCCUUUGUAUUUGGUUUUUCUUUUUGAAGAAGCUAAGAUCUAAAGGAUUUUUUGAUCUGAAAUUUGAAUUCCAGAUCUGUGAAGCUUGAAGGGUAUUUUGAGGCUCAAAACUUAUGAUUCAAGGCAAAGGGGACUGCCAUUUGUAUGCAUAAGGGAGGGCAACCCUUAAUUUUUUAUUUUCUUUUAGUCCCUCUUUAUUUUACCUUUUAGUUCUCUAUUUAUUGACUUGUUACUCAAGUCACAACACUAAUAUUUCUGAAAUUCUAAUUGUACACUUAUCUAGAAGGUUCUGGGAGUUUUUGGUUCAAUUAUUAAAAGAUUCCUUUGUUUAAAAUUCCUACCUUACUCUUUAUCUAAUCUGAAAUUCACCCAAGUUGACCCAACAGUUCACCUUAGUUAAUAGCCACAUCUAAGUAUUUAUUCUACAAUUAACUCAUGCAGAACCAAGUUAAAACCAAUCUCCUAAAUCUAAACUAGCUGAUGAAUUUCAGAUUACCAAUGAUCAUUAACAAUCACACCAACUAAUCAAUUAACCCUAAUAACAAUCAGUAUAAAACUGAAGUAUUAAAUCACACUUAAACUGAUCAACUAAACUAAUCAAGCCUAAACUAAUUAGGAAAUCCAAACCUAUAAUACUAACAAAGGAACAUAUGCCUAAGAGACACAUAACAGAAAAAUUUGUGCUACUGCAUAUAUCAACAUAACAAAUUACUAACUCAAAAAUGCAAACAAACCCUAAACUAAUUACUUGAAAUUAUAACAAAAUAAUUGAACUAAUUAACUAGUCAUGAAGGAACACAAACAUGGGAGGGGGCACGAAACUAACAGAAGAACUCACAUGGUAUAAUAUAUAAAAACAGGCCACUUCCCAGAUUAGAAAUUAACCCCUAUCCAGUGAUAUUUGAGUGUUAUUGACGUUGAAUUCAUCACGAGGGAAGCAAGAGGCCAUAUGGAAUCGAUUUGGUGUAGUUUAAAGAAAAUAGGGUUUUCACCGGAACUUCAAAUUGAUAUUCAAAAAGUUCUGGCUAUAUUCGAGGGAUGGGACUUGGGGAGUUUGAUGGAAGAGAACAAGGCGGUUCAACGGUGUGAAUUUUGGCAGGAUUGGGUCACUUAGGGUUUUGGCAGGAACAUUUUGAUCCAAG